GCAAACCCUGGCAAAUGAUUAGAAAGUGUUUUCUUGUUUCCAACAAUGACCACAGGAAGUGAAUGCAAUUGGAGAAGGCCAGGUUCUCUGCAGGCCCUUGUUCGUUUCUUCUUUUUCCUGUUUUAUUUUUACGUUUUAAUUUUUCCUGCAUUUACUGUGGUGACUUGAAGUUACCUGGGCCUCAAUCUCCUCUGAGGAACAGAGUGGCUUCCAAGGGAAGACUGCUUCAGGGAACAUCCUGCAUUGCAGCCCCAGAUAUCCCAUUACCUCCAGCCUUUCCCCUUGUUCUAAGAGAUCUCAAGAUUCUGCUAGACACUCCUGCUCAAGUUCGGGAACUUGGGAAGAAAGGGAACAGUUAAAUAUGAAGGCUCAAAUCAGCAUCUUAGAACGGAAGUCUUGACAUCCUUUUCAAAAACAAUUACUAAUACAAUUUAUAGUCUUGUUUAUGGCAUAAGACAAAAAGCCCACGAAACUACUCAAUACUGUAGGAAAUGAAUGGUUUAUUAAACUGUUGACUGUGCUCUA
rnacentral:lncRNA from 10 species